rnacentral:rRNA from 1 species
AUUGAACGCUGGCGGCAGGCUUAACACAUGCAAGUCGAGCGAGCGGCGGACGGGUGAGUAAUGUCUGGGAAACUGCCUGAUGGAGGGGGAUAACUACUGGAAACGGUAGCUAAUACCGCAUACCAUCAGAUGUGCCCAGAUGGGAUUAGCUAGUGGGUGGGGUAAUGGCUCACCUAGGCGACGAUCCCUAGCUGGUCGGAGAGGAUGACCAGCCACACUGGAACGUAGACACGGUCCAUACUCCUACGGGAGGGAGCAGUGGGGAAUAUUGCGCAAUGGGGGCAAGCCUGAUGCAGCCAUGCCGCGCGUGUGAAGAAGGCCUUCGGGUUGUAAAGCACUUUCAGCGGGGAGGCGGUAGUCGCAGAAGAAGCACCGGCUAACUCCGUGCCAGCAGCCGCGGUAAUAC